GCGGGGUAGAGCAGUCCGGUUAGCUCGCUUGUUUAACUUGCAAGAGGUCGCGGGUUCAAAUCCCGCCCCCGCCA
rnacentral:tRNA from 1 species